GCUAGCUAUUCAUUCAUUUAUCCCGUAAAUAUCUAGCAUCUCUUUUGUGUGAGGCUCUGCGUUAGAUCCUGAGACCGCAACAGCCAAAUACCUCCUCGGGCAGGAAGUGGACAACACAUGACAUCAACAGAGCUCCUGGCAGGAAAUCCCUGACUCUGUCAUUACCUUCUUCACUUUCGUGAAUGAAGUCAUUCCAAGUGGGAUGGCACUGUUACC
rnacentral:lncRNA from 1 species